GGGGCUAUAGCUCAGCUGGAAGAGCACCUGCUUUGCAAGCAGGGGGUCACGAGUUCGAGUCUCGUUAGCUCCACCA
rnacentral:tRNA from 1 species